rnacentral:rRNA from 1 species
UAUUGCACAAUGGGGGAAACCCUGAUGCAGCAACGCCGCGUGAGUGAAGAAGGUUUUCGGAUUGUAAACUAUUGUCCACAGGGAAGAUAAAAGACUGUACCUGUGAAGAAAGCUCCGGCUAACUACGUGCCAGCAGCCGCGGUAAUACGUAGGGAGCAAGCGUUAUCCGGAAUUAUUGGGUGUAAGGGGUGCGUAGACGGGAUAACAAGUUGGUUGUGAAACCCCUCGGCUCAACUGAGGAACUGCAACCAAAACUAUUAUUCUUGAGUGCAGGAGAGGAAAGUGGAAUUCCUAGUGUAGCGGUGAAAUGCGUAGAUAUUAGGAAGAACACCGGUGGCGAAGGCGACUUUCUGGACUGUAACUGACGUUGAGGCACGAAAGUGUGGGGAGCAAACAGG